rnacentral:rRNA from 1 species
GAUGGGAGCUAGCUUGCUAGAAGAAGUCAUGGCGGACGGGUGAGUAACGUGUAAAGAACUUACCAUAUAGACUGGGAUAACAGAGGGAAACUUCUGAUAAUACUGGAUAAGUUAGUAGUAGCAUUACUAAGUAAUGAAAGGUAGCAAUACGCUAUAUGAGAGCUUUGCAUCCUAUUAGCUAGUUGGUGGGGUAAAAGCCUACCAAGGCGAUGAUAGGUAGCCGGCCUGAGAGGGUGGACGGCCACAAGGGGACUGAGAUACGGCCCUUACUCCUACGGGAGGCAGCAGUGGGGAAUAUUGGACAAUGGAGGCAACUCUGAUCCAGCAAUUCUGUGUGUGUGAAGAAGGUUUUAGGACUGUAAAACACUUUUAGUAGGGAAGAAAGAAAUGACGGUACCUACAGAAGAAGCGACGGCUAAAUACGUGCCAGCAGCCGCGGUAAUACGUAUGUCGCGAGCGUUAUCCGGAAUUAUUGGGCUUAAAGGGCAUCUAGGCGGUUAAACAAGUUGAAGGUGAAAACCUGUGGCUCAACCAUAGGCUUGCCUACAAAACUGUAUAACUAGAGUACUGGAAAGGUGGGUGGAACUACACGAGUAGAGGUGAAAUUCGUAGAUAUGUGUAGGAAUGCCGAUGAUGAAGAUAACUCACUGGACAGCAACUGACGCUGAAGUGCGAAAGCUAGGGGAGCAAACAGGAUUAGAUACCCUGGUAGUCCUAGCUGUAAACGAUGAUCACUGGGUGUGGGGAUUCGAAGUCUCUGUGCCGAAGCAAAAGCGAUAAGUGAUCCGCCUGGGGAGUACGUUCGCAAGAAUGAAACUCANAGGAAUUGACGGGGACCCGCACAAGUGGU